rnacentral:lncRNA from 1 species
UUUUUUUUUCUUUUUCCUAGGCUGAAUUUUGGAUUGCAAUUUGUCUGAUCUAAGAUUUGAUUAAAAUUAAAAUUAGGGAUGAUAAGGGUAUUGCAAUUUGGGAGUUAAGUGUGGUUUAGGAGUAUUAAAAAUGUUUCGAUUGACAUGUUUUCAGCUAUUUUAUCAUUUGUUAUAAACACUUAAUUAGACAUUUAUGUUAUAAACAGUUAAUUAGUUUGAUUAUCUAAGCAGAGUCUUGGUGUAAUGUGUGUGUUAACUUCAAUUUUUUGAAUGGGUGUUUAUUAGGGAAGAAUGGGACUAAUGUGUGUUGCACAAGAGAUCCAAAGUUUAAAGCAAACAUCAC